CCUACGGGAGGCAGCAGUGAGGAAUAUUGGACAAUGGGCGCAAGCCUGAUCCAGCCAUGCCGCGUGCAGGAAGAAGCAUCUAUGGUGUGUAAACUGCUUUUGUACAGGAAGAAACACUCCCUCGUGAGGGAGCUUGACGGUACUGUAAGAAUAAGGACCGGCUAACUCCGUGCCAGCAGCCGCGGUAAUACGGAGGGUCCGAGCGUUAUCCGGAAUCAUUGGGUUUAAAGGGUCCGUAGGCGGUUUAAUAAGUCAGUGGUGAAAUCUGGUCGCUCAACGAUCAAACGGCCAUUGAUACUGUUAGACUUGAAUUAUAAGGAAGUAACUAGAAUAUGUAGUGUAGCGGUGAAAUGCUUAGAUAUUACAUGGAAUACCAAUUGCGAAGGCAGGUUACUACUUAUGGAUUGACGCUGAUGGACGAAAGCGUGGGGAGCGAACAGGAUUAGAUACCCUGGUAGUCCACGCCGUAAACGAUGGAUACUAGCUGUUCGGAGCAAUCUGAGUGGCUAAGCGAAAGUGAUAAGUAUCCACCUGGGAGUCGUUCGCAAGAAUUGAAACUUCAAAGGAAUUGAGGCNGAGAGNGCGACGACGACGACGAGGAGGAGG
rnacentral:rRNA from 1 species